GACGAACGCUGGCGGCGUGCCUAACACAUGCAAGUCGAACGGAAAGGCCCCCUUGUGGCGUACUCGAGUGGCGAACGGGUGAGUAACACGUGAGUAAACUACCCUUGACUUUGGGAUAACUUCAGGAAACUGGGGCUAAUACCGGAUAGGAGAUCCUGCUGCAUGGUGGGGGUUGGAAAUUUUCGGCGGUUGGGGAUGGACGCGCGGCUUAUAAGCUUGUUGGUGGGGUAGUGGCUCACCGAGGCUGUGACGGGUAGCCGGCCCGAGAGGGUGACCGGCCACAUUGGGACUGAGAUACGGCCCAGACUCCAACGGGAGGCAGCAGUGGGGAAUAUUGCACAAUGGGCGGAAGCCUGAUGCAGCAACGCCGCGUGCGGGAUGACGGCCUUCGGGUUGUAAACCGCUUUCGCCUGUGACGAAGCGUGAGUGACGGUAAUGGGUAAAGAAGCACCGGCUAACUACGUG
rnacentral:rRNA from 1 species